CGAUUCCCAUCGCGGGGGUCGGCGCCGUCGCCGUUUUCGUCGGUGAUCGGUGCCGCCUCGGUUCGACUCGGGCGUCGAUCGA
rnacentral:tRNA from 2 species